GUGAGGAUCCUGGCAACUUCAUGUUCAAACACAUUUGGGGACCUGUCCGUGUGGUUUGACAGCGCUGCAAAGAGCACAACAAUAGCUGGCGUGUUUUUGGGAGUUAAUCGUCAGCCGUCAUCUGCGAGGAAUCAUCCACGGAAAUGAAGCUUCACGGGAUUUCGCAGCUCCCGCAAAAUUCACCGCGGAUCACGUGGAGGACCUCCAGCGGUGUGACCGGCGACCGCAUGCUCGAAAACCACCGCUCUCACGUCUCAUCGGAUGGGGGACGUCGCUUCACAGUCACGUGCUGCUCGCCACGCAACCCGCGACUCUUCGAUGACAAACAUCACAUUCCCGUGCAGAGCUGUGAGUGCGUCGGGA